rnacentral:rRNA from 1 species
GACAGAGGGUGCAAACGUUGUUCGGAAUUACUGGGCGUAAAGCGCGUGUAGGCGGCUGCGUAAGUCGGGCGUGAAAUCCCAUGGCUCAACCAUGGAAGUGCACCCGAAACUGCGUAGCUAGAGUCCUGGAGAGGAAGGUGGAAUACUUGGUGUAGAGGUGAAAUUCGUAGAUAUCAAGUGGAACACCGGUGGCGAAGGCGGCCUUCUGGACAGUGACUGACGCUGAGACGCGAAAGCGUGGGGAGCAAACAGG